rnacentral:rRNA from 1 species
UACGUAGGUGACCAGCGUUGUCCGGAUUUACUGGGCGUAAAGAGCGCGCAGGCGGUCGUUCAAGUCGAGUGUGAAAGCCCCCGGCUCAACUGGGGAGGGUCACGCGAUACUGAUCGACUCGAAGGCAGGAGAGGGUAGUGGAAUUCCCGGUGUAGUGGUGAAAUGCGUAGAUAUCGGGAGGAACACCAGUGGCGAAGGCGACUACCUGGCCUGUUCUUGACGCUGAGGCGCGAAAGCUAGGGGAGCAAACGGG